CAUAGGUUAAUGAGGCGAACCGGGGGAACUGAAACAUCUAAGUACCCCGAGGAAAAGAAAUCAACCGAGAUUCCCCCAGUAGCGGCGAGCGAACGGGGAGCAGCCCAGAGCCUGAAUCAGUGUGUGUGUUAGUGGAAGCGUCUGGAAAGGCGCGCGAUACAGGGUGACAGCCCCGUACACAAAAAUGCACAUGCUGUGAGCUCGAUGAGUAGGGCGGGACACGUGGUAUCCUGUCUGAAUAUGGGGGGACCAUCCUCCAAGGCUAAAUACUCCUGACUGACCGAUAGUGAACCAGUACCGUGAGGGAAAGGCGAAAAGAACCCCGGCGAGGGGAGUGAAAAAGAACCUGAAACCGUGUACG
rnacentral:rRNA from 1 species